UCCUCGGUAGCUCAAUUGGCAGAGCGUCCGGCUGUUAACCGGAAUGUUGUAGGUUCGAGUCCUACCCGAGGAGCCA
rnacentral:tRNA from 1 species